AACGAACGCUGGCGGCAUGCCUAACACAUGCAAGUCGAACGAAGUCUUCGGACUUAGUGGCGCACGGGUGCGUAACGCGUGGGAAUCUGCCCUUGGGUACGGAAUAACUCAGAGAAAUUUGUGCUAAUACCGUAUAAUGUCUUCGGACCAAAGAUUUAUCGCCCAAGGAUGAGCCCGCGUAAGAUUAGCUAGUUGGUGGGGUAAAAGCCUACCAAGGCGACGAUCUUUAGCUGGUCUGAGAGGAUGAUCAGCCACACUGGGACGGGGACACGGCCCAGACUCCUACGGGAGGCAGCAGUGGGGAAUAUUGGACAAUGGGCGAAAGCCUGAUCCAGCAAUGCCGCGUGAGUGAUGAAGGCCCUAGGGUUGUAAAGCUCUUUUACCAGGGAUGAUAAUGACAGUACCUGGAGAAUAAGCUCCGGCUAACUCCGUG
rnacentral:rRNA from 1 species